rnacentral:tRNA from 1 species
GCAUUGAUGGUUCAGUGAUAGAGUUCUUGUCUUCAUUGCCGGAGACUCAGGUUUGAUUCCUGACCAGUGCA